GCUUGUCUCAAAGAUUAAGCCAUGCAUGUCUAAGUACAAGCCGCUAGUUCGGCGAAACCGCGAAUGGCUCAAUAAAUCAGUUAUGGUUCCUUAGAUCCACUCCAUCCUACUUGGAUAACUGUGGUAAUUCUAGAGCUAAUACAUGCGCAAAUUCCCGACUGUCGCAAGGCGGAAAGGAUGUAUUUAUUAGAUCCAACCAGCCCGGUUCGCCGGAGUCCCUGGUGAGUCAUAAUAACUGAGCGAAUCGCAUGGCCUUGUGCCGGCGAUGGUUCAUUCAAGUUUCUGCCCUAUCAGCUUUCGAUGGUAGGGUAUUGGCCUACCAUGGCGUUAACGGGUAACGGAGAAUUAGGGUUCGAUUCCGGAGAGGGAGCCUGAGAAACGGCUACCACAUCCAAGGAAGGCAGCAGG
rnacentral:rRNA from 1 species